rnacentral:rRNA from 1 species
CCUACGGGCGGCAGCAGUGAGGAAUAUUGGUCAAUGGACGGGAGCCUGAACCAGCCAUGCCGCGUGAAGGAUGACUGCCCUAUGGGUUGUAAACUUCUUUUAUACAGGGAUAAAACGAGGCACGUGUGCCUUUUUGCAAGUACUUUAUGAAUAAGGAUCGGCUAACUCCGUGCCAGCAGCCGCGGUAAUACGGAGGAUCCGAGCGUUAUCCGGAUUUAUUGGGUUUAAAGGGUGCGUAGGUGGGUUGUUAAGUUAGUGGUGAAAGUCUGCGGCUCAACAGUAGAAUUGCAGUUGAUACUGGCAGACUUGAGAACGGAUGAGGUAGGCGGAAUGCGUGGUGUAGCGGUGAAAUGCUUAGAUAUUACGAAGAACCCCGAUUGCGAAGGCAGCUUACUAGGCUGGGACUGACAUUGAUGCUCGAAAGUGUGGGGAUCGAACAGGAUUAGAUACCCUAGUAGUC